UACGGAGGGGGCUAGCGUUGCUCGGAAUCACUGGGCGUAAAGGGUGCGUAGGCGGGUCUUAAGUCAGAGGUGAAAUCCUGGAGCUCAACUCCAGAACUGCCUUUGAUACUGAGAAUCUUGAGUUCGGGAGAGGUGAGUGGAACUGCGAGUGUAGAGGUGAAAUUCGUAGAUAUUCGCAAGAACACCAGUGGCGAAGGCGGCUCACUGGCCCGAUAACUGACGCUGAGGCACGGAAAGC
rnacentral:rRNA from 1 species